GAAGUGGAGAGCAGAGCCAGAAGGAUUGAUUUCCAAAAACUCCUGUUACAUGAGGAAGACACCAAGAAGAGCAAAGAAAAGGAGCCAGGGUGGCUCUUCCUCAGCUAUCUCUUCCAAAUGCAUGACAAGGAAGUUCUCAUCAAGAAGGCAAGGCAAUACAGAAGUGUUCCACACAGGGACAUUGCAAAGACAAGCAAGUCAUCACACUGGAGAUUUUUCCUUCCAGGAAAUUGAGAAAGAUUUUCAGGACUUUGAGUUUCAGUGGCAAGAAGAUGAAAGAAAUGGCCAUGAAGCACUCAUGACAGAGAUAAAAAAGUUGACAGGUAAUACAGACUGAUAUGAUCAAAGGCAUGCUGGAAACAAACCUAUUAAAGAUCAGCUUGGAUCAAGCUUUCAUUCACAUCUGCCUGAACUGCAUAUAUUGCAGAGCAAAGGGAAAAUUGAUAGUCAAGAUGAGAAGUCUGUCAAUGAUGCUUCCUCAGUUUCAGCAUCCCAAAGAAUUUCUUGUAUUCCUAAAACCCAUAUUUCUAAUAAGUAUGGGAAUAAUUUCCUCCAGGAAGCACA
rnacentral:lncRNA from 1 species